UACCGAGGGGGCAAGCGUUGUUCGGAAUUACUGGGCGUAAAGGGCGCGUAGGCGGCCUGUUAAGUCGAACGUGAAAUCCCCAGGCUCAACCUGGGAACUGCGUCCGAUACUGGCAGGCUUGAAUCCGGGAGAGGGAUGUGGAAUUCCAGGUGUAGCGGUGAAAUGCGUAGAUAUCUGGAGGAACACCGGUGGCGAAGGCGGCAUCCUGGACCGGUAUUGACGCUGAGGCGCGAAAGCCAGGGGAGCAAACGGG
rnacentral:rRNA from 1 species